GACGAACGCUGGCGGCGUGCUUAACACAUGCAAGUCGAACGGAAAGGCCCUGCUUUUGUGGGGUGCUCGAGUGGCGAACGGGUGAGUAACACGUGAGUAACCUGCCCUUGACUUUGGGAUAACUUCAGGAAACUGGGGCUAAUACCGGAUAGGAGCUCCUGCUGCAUGGUGGGGGCUGGAAAGUUUCGGUGGUUGGGGUUGGAGGCGGGGCUUCUCAGCUUGUGGGUGGGGUGGUGGUUUACCAAGGCUUUGACGGGUAGCCGGCCUGGGAGGGUGACCGGGCACAUUGGGCCUGGGGUAGGGGCCGGAGUGCUGCGGGGGGCAGCGGUGGGGAAUAGUGCGCGAUGGGCGGAGGCCUGGUGGAGGGGCGCCGCGUGCGGGAUGACGGCCUUCGGGUUGGAAAGCGCUUGCGCGUGUGACGAAGCGUGAGUGACGGUAAUGGGUAAGGAAGCGCCGGCUAACUACGUG
rnacentral:rRNA from 1 species